GGCAGUUCUCAGGUGAUGCACCCCGGAACUGGGCUUCCUCCUUUUUGGUUCCAGGUGCAUCACCUGAAAACUGCA
rfam:Myotis lucifugus cont2.46675, whole genome shotgun sequence.